rnacentral:tRNA from 1 species
GUUUUAAUAGUUUAAAAUAAAACAAUGAUUUUGUAAAUCAUAAAUAGGAAAUACCUUUAAAACU